rnacentral:rRNA from 1 species
AUCGUUCAAUGGUUCUUAGAAUAAGCAAUUAUACCGCGAAACUGCGAAUGGCUCAUUAAAUCAGUUAUCGUUCUACUUUGAUGGUACCUUACUACUUGGAUAACCGUGGUAAUUCUAGAGCUAAUACAUGCUGAAAACCCCGACUUCGGGAGGGGUGUAUUUAUUAGAUAAAAAACCAACGCCCUCCGGGGCUCUUUGGUGAUUCAUGAUAACUUCUCAGAUCGCAUGGCCUUGCGCCGGCGACGGUUCAUUCAAAUUUCUGCCCUAUCAACUUUCGAUGGUAAGGUAUUGGCUUACCAUGGUUUCAACGGGUAACGGGGAAUUAGGGUUCGAUUCCGGAGAGGGAGCCUGAGAAACGGCUACCACAUCCAAGGAAGGCAGCAGGCGCGCAAAUUACCCAAUCCCGACACGGGGAGGUAGUGACAAUAAAUACUGAUACAGGGCUCUUUUGGGUCUUGUAAUUGGAAUGAGUACAAUUUAAACCUCUUAACGAGGAACAAUUGGAGGGCAAGUCUGGUGCCAGCAGCCGCGGUAAUUCCAGCUCCAAUAGCGUAUAUUAAAGUUGUUGCAGUUAAAAAGCUCGUAGUUGAACCUUUGGCCUGGCUGGCAGGUCCGCCUCACCGCGUGCACUUGUCCGGCCGGGCCUUCUCUUCUGGAGAACCGCAUGCCCUUCACUGGGUGUGCUGGGGACCAGGACUUUUACUUUGAAAAAAAUUACAGUGUUCAAAGCAGGCCUUUUGCUCGAAAUACAUUUAGCAAUGGGAAAUAAUACAAAUAGAGGACGUGCG